rnacentral:rRNA from 1 species
AUAUUGGACAAUGGGCGCAAGCCUGAUCCAGCCAUGCCGCGUGAGUGAUGAAGGCCUUAGGGUUGUAAAGCUCUUUCACCGAUGAAGAUAAUGACGGUAGUCGGAGAAGAAGCCCCGGCUAACUUCGUGCCAGCAGCCGCGGUAAUACGAAGGGGGCUAGCGUUGUUCGGAAUUACUGGGCGUAAAGCGCACGUAGGCGGAUAUUUAAGUCAGGGGUGAAAUCCCAGAGCUCAACUCUGGAACUGCCUUUGAUACUGGGUAUCUUGAGUAUGGAAGAGGUAAGUGUAAUUCCGAGUGUAGAGGUGAAAUUCGUAGAUAUUCGGAGGAACACCAGUGGCGAAGGCGGCUUACUGGUCCAUUACUGACGCUGAGGUGCGAAAGCGUGGGGAGCAAACA